CGCUCACCUCCACCUGACGCCCAGUCGACGCCGUGCCACUGUCCCUGCCGCGUCCCGACGCCGCCGGAGCCCACACCGUCGCUGCUCUCGUCUCCCCGGCAGCCCGAGCAGUGCAUCUCACGCUCCGAGCGAACGCAUGCCACAGCAACCGCCUGUCCGCCUUGCUCCACCUCUGCCCGAGCCUAGUUGAGCCGUCACCGUCCAGCCGCACCGGUGAUUCACCUCGCCGGAGCCCCGAACGCCGGCGAUCCAAACCCCUUGCUUGGUGUUGACGAAUUGGUUGCCCCUCCAUUUUCC
rnacentral:lncRNA from 1 species